UCUUAUCAUAUCCUGUGUUUGAGGUGCACAUGAUAAGAACAGGAUAUGAUAAGG
rnacentral:pre_miRNA from 1 species